rnacentral:rRNA from 1 species
GGACUACUGGGGUUUCUAAUCCUGUUUGCUCCCCACGCUUUCGAGCCUCAGCGUCAGUCAUGGACCAGUAAGUCGCCUUCGCCACUGGUGUUCUUCCGAAUAUCUACGAAUUUCACCUCUACACUCGGAGUUCCACUUACCUCUUCCAUACUCUAGAUCGUCAGUUUUGAAGGCAGUUCCAAGGUUGAGCCCUGGGCUUUCACCCCCAACUUGACGACCCGCCUACGCUCCCUUUACGCCCAGUAAUUCCGAGCAACGCUAGCCCCCUUCGUAUUACCGCGGCGGCUGGCAC